rnacentral:rRNA from 1 species
UACGAAGGUGGCAAGCGUUACUCGGAAUUACUAGGCGUAAAGGGCAGGUAGGUGGUUUGGUUAGUCUGUUGUGAAAGCUCCUUGCUUAACGGGGAGAGGUCAACAGAUACUGCCAGACUUGAGUAUGGGAGAGGUUACUGGAAUUCCUGGAUGUAGCGGUGAAAUGCGCAGAGAUCAGGAGGAACACCGAUGGCGAAAGCAGGUAACUGGACCAUUACUGACACUCAGCUGACGAAAGCUAGGGGAGCAAACAGG